rnacentral:misc_RNA from 1 species
AAGAGGUAGAAGAAAAGGGGGUGGUGGUGGUAAUGGGAGUGAAGGGAUGAGGAAAUUGCUGUUAGGGUUAGGGUUCUUGGUGCAGGGAUUCAGAUGUUUUCCUUGGAUGGCAGUUAAUUUCUUUCUAAAAGAUGGCCUUAAGGUUGACCCAUCUACUUUACAGAUCCUACAGUGUUCUGCCAAUUUGCCCAUGGUGGCUAAGCCCUUCUAUGGAAUUCUGUCUGAUUCUUUUUACAUUUUUGGACAGCAUCGUGUUCCUUACAUUGCCUUUGGAGCAUUUUUGCAGGCAGUGUCAUGGAUUGCUAUAUUCCUCUCCCCUUCAAAUAUUUCAUUUUUUACGAUUACUCUGUAUCUCUUGCUUGGAAACUUGGGUGCUUCUGUAGUUGAGGUUGCCAACGAUGCCAUGGUUGCAGAGUUGGGGAAACCACCUAGUUCAUCAUCCAAAAAUAGUCCACAUUCUUCAUCAGGCCAGAUCCAGUCAUUUGUUUGGAUUGCCGCUUCUGUCGGUGGAGUUCUUGGUAACCUAGCAGGCGGUAUUGCUAUUGAUCGUUUUUCCCCUCAAGUGAUGUUCCUUAUGUUUGGCAUUCUUUUAAGUAUUCAAUUUCUGGUUACAAUUUUUAUUCAUGAGAGCUCCUUGGACCUUCCCACGAGUUCAUCAGAUCGAGGAAUCAAAACACAACUUUCAGAGCUUAUAGUUGCGCUGCGGAAACCGG